rnacentral:rRNA from 1 species
AUUGAACGCUGGCGGCAUGCCUUACACAUGCAAGUCGAACGGCAGCGCGGGGCAACCUGGCGGCGAGUGGCGAACGGGUGAGUAAUAUAUCGGAACGUACCCUGGAGUGGGGGAGUAACGUAGCGAAGUUACGCUAAUACCGCAUACGAUCUAAGGAUGAAAGACAGGGGACCGCAAGGCCUUGUGCUCCUGGAGCGGCCGAUAUCUGAUUAGCUAGUUGGUAGGGAAAAGACCUACCAAGGCAUCGAUCAGUAGCUGGUCUGAGAGGACGACCAGCCACACUGGAACUGAGACACGGUCCAGACUCCUACGGGAGGCAGCAGUGGGGAAUUUGGACAAUGGGCGCAAGCCUGAUCCA